rnacentral:rRNA from 1 species
GAUGAACGCUGGCGGCGUGCCUAAUACAUGCAAGUCGAGCGAACAGACGAGGAGCUUGCUCCUCUGACGUUAGCGGCGGACGGGUGAGUAACACGUGGAUAACCUACCUAUAAGACUGGGAUAACUUCGGGAAACCGGAGCUAAUACCGGAUAAUAUAUUGAACCGCAUGGUUCAAUAGUGAAAGACGGUUUUGCUGUCACUUAUAGAUGGAUCCGCGCCGCAUUAGCUAGUUGGUAAGGUAACGGCUUACCAAGGCAACGAUGCGUAGCCGACCUGAGAGGGUGAUGCGCCCCACUGGAACUGAGACACGGUCCAGACUCCUACGGGAGGCAGCGGUAGGGAAUCUUCCGCAAUGGGCGAAAGCCUGACGGAGCAACGCCGCGUGAGUGAUGAAGGUCUUCGGAUCGUAAAACUCUGUUAUUAGGGAAGAACAAAUGUGUAAGUAACUAUGCACGUCUUGACGGUACCUAAUCAGAAAGCCACGGCUAACUACGUG